rnacentral:rRNA from 1 species
GAUGAACGCUGGCGGCGUGCCUAAUACAUGCAAGUCGAGCGAACAGACGAGGAGCUUGCUCCUCUGACGUUAGCGGCGGACGGGUGAGUAACACGUGGAUAACCUACCUAUAAGACUGGGAUAACUUCGGGAAACCGGAGCUAAUACCGGAUAAUAUAUUGAACCGCAUGGUUCAAUAGUGAAAGACGGGUUUGCUGUCACUUAUAGAUGGAUCCGCGCCGCAUUAGCUAGUUGGUAAGGUAAGGGCUUACCAAGGCAACGAUGCGUAGCCGACGUGAGAGGGUGAUAGGCCACACUGGAACUGAGACACCCUCCAGACGCCUGCGGGAGGCAGCAGUAGGGAAUCUUCCGCAAUGGGCGAAAGCCUGACGGAGCAGCGCCGCGUGAGUGAUGACGGUCUUCGGAUCGUAAAACUCUGUUAUUAGGGAAGAACAAAUGUGUAAGUAACUAUGCACGUCUUGACGGUACCUAAUCAGAAAGCCACGGCUAACUACGUG